ACACAUAUACUUUCUCUCUCUUCAAACACCACAACACUGAGAGAGAACACUUUUGCACCACUGCAUCUAGGGCGAAAUCGUGAGAGAUCAAAAUAAUGUGAAUCUAGGCUUCUAUUGCGUUUUCUCUUCUUUUGCUACAUCUUUUAUCUGAAGGACAGGCUGUUGAAAAGGGUCGAGAUCCAACACCAGCUGAGGUACAUUUGCACGUCCAUACACAUGAUCAUGAUGGAGCAUCUUUUAUUGAUAAGCAUGCCCAAGCUAUCCACGAAAGAUGUCAAGAAAUAUUACGGGAAAAAUCACAAUCUCAAUCUGAUAUUGAUCAAUGUGAAGCAUAUUACCAAGCCGCGGAAGGAGCAAUGAAGAGAAGAAUAUAUGAUCUUGGAUCUCAAGCACAAAGUUACUACGGGCCGAAUCUUCGUGUCACUUCUGAUUUCGAUGCUUCAUCAUAAGUACCACCUUCGGUUUCUCAAUCAACACCAACAGAAAAUAUGGAGGAGUUGGUGAUGCGAUGGAUUCCUACACUGACCGAUCUCAUGCUUCCCGUAUUUAUUGAGUAGGCACGCGAAGCAAUUUCUUCACCAGCACACCAUCCAAAUGCUCAUAUCUACAACCCAUCACUCGUGACACCUAUAGUGCCUCCUAAUACUACUGCUAACGUUGUCAAUGUUGUUCCAUUAGUUUCAGAUCACGAUUAAGUCAUGCAUUAGUUUUUGAUAUUUUUUGUUUUUUGUUGGAAGAAAAAAAAUUAUACAGUAACAAUACUCGAUGGAUGUUUGUUCUUUUGGUAGUUGCUACCUUGGUGUUGUCGAUGUUUUGUUAAACCUUCUAUAAAUAUUAUUUUAUAUGAAUGUCAGUUAUUUUGAAGGUUA